rnacentral:tRNA from 1 species
GUCUCAGAAACUCAACAACAGAGUAUUAUUUUGAAAAAAUACCGGCUGCAGGUUUAAAUCCUGUCUAGGACA